AUUAAUUUAAAAAAGACAUCAGAAGCCAUGCCAGAGAGACUCUUUGUCACAGUCUGAUUAUGAAUCUGGAAUGACAAGAAGAAAAAUUUGAACACAAAGAGACACCAAAGAUGCUAGUGCAGAUAAGAGACCAUGUGAGGACAGUGAGAAGACAGCUCCUUGCAACUUAGGAGGGAGGCCUCAGAAGAAACCAACCCUGGUGACAUAUUGAUCUCAAACACCUCGCCCUAGAAUUGUGAGGAAAUACAUUUUUGUUGUUGAAGUCACACAAUCUGUGGUAUCUUGUUACACCAGCUCUGGAAAACGAAUACAGGAAUUUUCUGGAUCAUUAUGGAGGAAGAGGGGGAGCCCAAACAAAACACCGGACUCUGAAACAAGUCGACAGAAAUCGGGCUUUGGGAGA
rnacentral:lncRNA from 1 species